ACCGUACCGCAAACCGACACUGGUGCGCGAGAUGAGUAUUCUAAGGCGCUUGAGAGAACUCUGGAGAAGGAACUCGGCAAAUUGACACCGUAACUUCGGAAGAAGGUGUGCCUUUAGUAGGUGAAGUCGUACAGACGGAGCCCAAUGAGGCCGCAGAGAAUCGGUGGCUGCGACUGUUUAUUAAAAACACAGCACUCUGCAAAGACGAAAGUCGACGUAUAGGGUGUGACGCCUGCCCGGUGCUGGAAGAUUAAAUGAUGGGGUGCAAGCUCUUGAUUGAAGUCCCAGUAAACGGCGGCCGUAACUAUAACGGUCCUAAGGUAGCGAAAUUCCUUGUCGGGUAAGUUCCGACCUGCACGAAUGGCGUAACGAUGGCCACGCUGUCUCCUCCAGAGACUCAGCGAAGUUGAAAUGUUUGUGAUGAUGCAAUCUCCCCGCGGAAAGACGGAAAGACCCCAUGAACCUUUACUGUAGCUUCACAUUGGACUUUGAACAGAUCUGUGUAGGAUAGGUGGGAGGCUUUGAAGCGGUGCCGCUAGGUGUCGUGGAGCCAACCUUGAAAUACCACCCUGGUGUGUUUGGGGUUCUAACCUUGACCCGUUAUCCGGGUUGGGGACAGUGUGUGGUGGGCAGUUUGACUGGGGCGGUCUCCUCCCAAAGUGUAACGGAGGAGUUCGAAGGUACGCUAGGCACGGUCGGAAAUCGUGCUGAUAGUGCAUUGGCAUAAGCGUGCUUGACUGCGAGACGGACAUGUCGAGCAGGUACGAAAGUAGGACAAAGUGAUCCGGUGGUUCUGUAUGGAAGGGCCAUCGCUCAACGGAUAAAAGGUACUCUGGGGAUAACAGGCUGAUACCGCCCAAGAGCUCAUAUCGACGGCGGUGUUUGGCACCUCGAUGUCGGCUCAUCUCAUCCUGGGGCUGUAGCCGGUCCCAAGGGUAUGGCUGUUCGCCAUUUAAAGAGGUACGUGAGCUGGGUUUAAAACGUCGUGAGACAGUUUGGUCCCUAUCUUCCGUGGGCGCUGCAAGAUUGAGAGAGCCUGCUCCUAGUACGAGAGGACCGGAGUGGACGCACCUCUGGUGCAUCGGUUGUCACGCCAGUGGCAUAGCCGAGUAGCUAAGUGCGGAAGAGAUAACCGCUGAAAGCAUCUAAGCGGGAAACUCGUCUCAAGAUGAGUCUUGCCGGGGCCUUGAGCCCCCUGAAGAGUCGUUCGAGACCAGGACGUUGAUAGGCCGGGUGUGGAAGCGCGGUAACGCGUUAAGCUGACCGGUACUAAUUGCCCGUGAGGCUUGACCC
rnacentral:rRNA from 1 species